AUACCUUUUACGAGCGAAACAAUCACUGAGCAAGAUCGUUGCAAAUAUCAAUAAGUAUUCGUGGGUAACCGACGUAUAAAAAAGAAUGUACUUAUUUUCAAAUUUUAAUACAGUUGUUUUUUUUAUACAUAUUGUAAUAGCUCGAUUUGAUUAGUUUCGCACGUAAGUUUCUAGCAACUCUGCGAACAAGUGUCUACAAUAGAUCUGUAAAUAGGACAUGUAAAUGCAUCGAUUAAUUGAUUAUCAGCAGCGAGAUAAUGUGACUGGUGAAACGUAAACGAGAUUUCGACGCAUUUCGGGCUUUUUCGACUUGUAUCUCGUCAGACGCGAAACAUUCAAAAGCAAAUAAAACCGCGGUGUUACAUAAGACAAACAUCGUACAUUAACUACACCGAUAUGUUUUUAAACAUCAAUCAUCGUCCGUAGCUGAUACUUUGCAUCAUUUUAGUUUGUGCGUACGCGGGUUUAACGCGAUGCGACUAUCCCCGCUACCGGACAUCGCGACAUCUCAUUUUUCACGAACGUGCAUUUUCUGCAGACAGUAUUAGCGUCGACGUAUAUAACUUAAACAUAUGAAAAUCGUUCUAGAUUAUUUUCUAAAUAAAAUACGUAAAGCUCAUUAUUAACGAUUUACAAGUCAGUAAAAAAGUAUUAUUUUUGAAAUAUUAAAAUUAUAAUAAAAAUGAAGAUAAAUGGAAAUAAAUCUAUUGUAUAGUCGUUUAUUGUAUCAACUAGAUCGAUUUUAAGUUGUCGAUUUAUAUCGAUUUUCACAUGUGUCAUUGUAACUCGAAUACUAGUUGAUACAGUUGAUCCAAUCUAAACGAUUAAAAUUGUGAUGGCAAUCGCGAAGCAUUGUGUAUAGCGGCUUGAAUGACGUAUCAUAUGCAGAUAAAACAUUUUAAAUAAUUAAUCGACAGAUAUACAAUUAAGUGGUGAAAGUUACUUGAAGAGGACACAAGUCUGAGUGCGUUAUUGUUUAAAUUUGUGACUGAAAUUUGUUUCCAAUAUAAUUGAGAGACAAAAUUUAUUAUAGCUCUUUCCGUUUCCUAUCUAUUUAAUUUACAUUCAUUAUCAUUUAUAGGUUAAACCUAAGACUAUAUAACAUCAGGCGUAAUUAACAUAAAAUCUAUAUAAACCAUUCGACAUACACGUAGAAACACAAACAAAUUGUAUUAAUCAUCUGACACAUUAGAUAAAAAAAUUUACAUUUAUCGGUAAUACGUUGGCAUACAAUAAUAGCAUCGAUAAUAGUACUAAUGAUAAUUGGGCCAUGCAGCCAAAUGAAGGGCCAAGUGGAACUGCUCGAAGUAGAUUUGAGGGAUACAGCUUUUUCCGGAAAAAUAUUGAGUUACACAAGAUUGACCAGUGUUAUCUUACCAAUCAACGGAAAGAACUGAUUUUCGGAAUCUCUGGCCACUCUGGAAUCGGAGAAAAUAAUUGAUACCUUGAUGUGCUGCUAGUAACUAAAGAAUACUGAGUGAAUGAAUCUAAUAGAUUCUAUCCGAGUAGACAUCAUUAAUUUCACUAUGUAAAAUAACUUGAUAGAUGAAACUUGACUCCCAUACUCUUUAACAGUAAGUUAAUUAUAGAAAAUGGAAAUAAUCGUAAAUCAAUAUAUAAAAAAUUCAGAUUAAUUUAGGUAUCGUAAAGCUUUGAAAAAAUAAUUUGAAAUGUCUGCGUAUUUAUUAUAACAUUAUUAUAUCUGUAGGAUAAAAAAGAAUAGCAAAUUAAUUACUAUGAGAACACGAUCAGAUACAAUACGAUACAAUAUAGAACAAAAUAUAGUCACAUGCCUGAAAAUUAAAUAAUCGAGCUUGCAAUGAGUAGCUAUGCCUAUGGCUUACCAUUUAAGGUUUCAGAAUUAAAAAUAUGUAAUAAAUAUAUGAUAUAUAAAAUAUAUAAUAAAUACAUGUAUGUAUACAGCGAGUCACAGUACCUAUUCAUAUCUCUAAUUUGAACAACUGAUAUGUUUUUACGAUACAAAUUUGAAAUUUCUAAUCAAUGAAAGUCAGUUAACGAGCAUUCUCAUUGCAAAGAAUUUUGUAUUUUGUAUUAUAAAACGAUAUGAAUCGUUCAGGGUCAAUGAUUUGGUGGUACCAAUACUUUUCAGAAUGACUUACUGUGCAUGUAUACAUAUGCGAAAGUCAUAAUCUUCAAUAUCAAUCAUCAGUUAUUUACAUAUUGCAUACGAAUAUAUCACACAGCAUUUUAAAACUCUAGGGCAUAAUCGAAUUAAGAUUCUUAUCAAAUGUCACAAAUUACAAAUUACUGUCGUUAGUAAAAAUUUUUGCGUGACACGUUGACAGGUUUUAUAAUAUAAAAUGAAAUUUUGCGCGCCAGUUUUAUAAAUCAUAAAUUAUCCCCUUAUUUUAUUCGACGAAACGUGAUAAAAUUGUAAGAAAGAGAUAUUCACGAUAGGCAAACUAUGAUGCAAGACGGUCCAGAAAGAGAAUCUUUCUAUCGUUAUGAAAUAAAAUCUCUGUGGUAUAAACCAUCUUAAAAAUUUGAAAACGCGACAAAUUCUUCAACGAGAGAUCGCAUUUGCUGCAAUUUUUCCCUGUAAACUAUAAACUAACCAGCGCGGCGCCCGAUCCGCGUUUGUCACAUUUGAGGAUUAUUGCCGAGCGAAAUAUUUCAGUUCGAAAAUUUACGGCCGCCGGUAAGCCGAUGAGGCCCGUUAACAAAGGUUAAAGAUCGUUGUUUGAAAUACAUUGCUUCUCGGCGAAUAAUUGGAUAAGCAUGAUGCACGAGGGAGAGAGAGAGAGAGAGAGAGAGAGAGAGAGCGAGAGGAAGAGAGAAACAGAAAAGGCAACAGCGUGCGAAAUCAGCGUAAAUUAAUCGAGGAUGAUCUCCGGUUACUGAAAAAUCACGCUAAUGAGUAUGUAGGGCCGAUUUAGAGAAGGGGUCGAGGAAGGUCUCUGUGGUCACUUCAAACGUCGAUGUCGAUCAUAAAUUGGGGGCUGAUACGAUGGGGACGAUGACAAUUACCGUUGCGUUACAAACAGAUCGGUACAUACGGACCGACGUUCGAGCUUAAUUCGUGUAAUUAGCACUAAUUAAUACAAUAUACUCAACUCUCACAAGAUCUUAGCAUUGAUCAGGGAUCAAGGGAUCAAGAGAUCAUUUUGUAGAUGCUACAUAUCAGUCUUCGCUGAUUAAAAUACAAUGGGUCAUGAAAGUUUUCGAAUACUUACUAUAGAGGAUUUUUAUAAAUAUUUUCUAUGCCUUCUACGAAACUUUGGGAAAUGUCAUUAGUACUGCAAUGAGAUACGAUUUUAUUGUAAUUAUAUUAACAAAAUUUGAAACCAAGCUACAAGUUCACAUAUGUACAAACGUUACAAUAAAAGAUAUUCAUACGUGAUACUACCGUUUGACUCUCUAUUCGUUAACUUAUAUUUAUUAUUUGUUAUAACCUUUUUUCAGGAGUUCAUGAUGUAUCAUACUCAUAUUUAUACUGCGUACGACUGGCGCACGAAAAUGUUUGGACACAUAACAUAGCAAACUUUUAUAAAUGUACAUUAUACACGAAAUUUUCUAAAAUUUCUUCUAAAAGUUGAGGUUACGAUUAUCAUAAUUAUAUUCACGAAACCUGAAAUGAAUCUAAAAAUGUAUGUAAAAAUUGUAUUUAGGAUAAACAUAUGUCGAAGCAUGAAUAACCAUUGUAAGCACGUACUAAAUGUUAAAUAUGAUCUCACUGAAUGUUGAGGUUUAUUAAUACUAUAUAAUAAAUAAUUGACUGUUUAAAUACUUUUGUGAUCUCUACGAAAUAUGUACUUGUACUAUCUACGUACGUUUCCAGAUUUGUUUCAAACUUUACCAAUAUAGUCUCAUUUCAGUGCUAAUGUUUCAAGAUGUUUCGUAUAACACAAUAAUAUAUUCAUAAAAGAUAUCUACAAGUGUCUGAAUACACUCGCGAGUCGUUGUAUUUAAAUACUGAAAUUCUAAUAUAAAUUGCGUAUUUUAUAUUUAUUCGAUAUGCGUUAAAACGUUCUUUCAUAAUGUUAUUUGGUCGUGUAGUAUCGUUAACUAUUAGUAUGCGAAAUAAUCAAUUUUAAGCUGAAAUAUUGAAGAAAACUAUUUUUAUUUCUGUAUGAUGCCAUAUGAUUUAAAAGUUGUAUAACUACCGAUCUAUAUGUUUUUAACAUUAUUUUGUAUCUUCUUACUAUUCUAUUUUGUUUUAUCAUCGUACUAUGUACUGUUUUGUCAACGAUUUUCCUAUCAAUGCGAAUAACUAUGAUAUAACUGACUCUCUCAGAACAGAAUUCUUUUACUCUGUGAGAAAAAUUAUUCUUUUAUUAAUUAUUAAUCAUAGGAACAUAUUCCUUCUGAUGUUUCUAUAAAAAUGACAUCAUGCAGUAAAAUUGAAUAUAUUUAUGAAUAUAUUUAUCGUUUAAUUAAUUAUUGAUUUACUCAAGUGUUGUUAUGUUACAAAUAAAUAAUAUCAAGCGUAACCAGGCGAAUGGCAAUUUUUGGUCAUAUACAUAUUGUGGAAAUUUUCAAGUCAACGAAGAAAAAUCUAAUUCCUCUGAAGAUUAAUUCCUAACGUUGUGUUAAUAUAAUUUAUUUUAAUCAAUUAUGACUACAAACUCGGGAAUAUAACAAAGAGUGAUUUUAUAGUAUACAUAUUUGCUGUGACCCGAUUGAAUAUCGACAAUACUACGAUUCUUACAAAAUAAUAAGAGAAACUUUUUUCAUAAAACAUCCACGCUCCCUCCCGUAGUAUCUUUCGAGUUGUUCCUGUUUACGAAGAGCCUGUACAAGAAGUCCGCAAACGUCAUUCGGCAUCUUCUUCAUUGUGUAAGGACUGCUACGAUGAGUUGCAUGUAGCUGCAUUUUUAAAUCGAGCAAAUAGUAUUUUGUGCACGCAUACAUAUGUAUACACAGAGGAAGAAUGAAAUUUUUCAUUGAUAAUGUGAACAUAACCGAAAACACAGGAAUGAAAAAUAUUAGAUAUCUUUUUGGAUACGUGUCGAUAUUUAUUAUGACUUCGCUGUUGCGUUACUUUUCCGUGAAAUUCAUGCGUAUUUAUUGACUCGAUUGAUAUGCUCGAUGAAUAAUGGUUUCUUUUACUCUCAUAUUGAAUCCUGUACACACACGCAGUGUGGGUAUACUGGUAUUAGCGUCUGGCCUGAACAAUUCACAUUUUGUUGGCUUCCUGUGAUAGAUAUUGGGAAGAAAUUCCUUAAAAUGCACAUUUUAAAGGUGAUAAUACCAGACAAACUGUCAUACAAAAGUCAUAACAAACGAUGUAAGUAGUACACAUGUUACAAAUAUCGAAUCAGUUAGUUAUCUCGACGAGAAAAUUUUAAAAAAUUAUUCAAAUACAUGCGAUAUAUUUUUUUCUAAUGUUUUCAUCGAAACAUC